UAAACUGGGAUUAGAUACCCCACUAUGCCUAGCCGUAAAAUAUUUAUUUACACCAUAAACCGCCAGGGAAUUACGAGCCCAAGCUUAAAACCCAAAGGACUUGACGGUGCCCCACCCACCUAGAGGAGCCUGUUCUAUAAUCGAUUCCCCCCGAUACACCCCACCACUUCUAGCCUCUCAGCCUGUAUACCUCCGUCGUAAGCUUACCAUGUGAACGUAACCAGUGAGCUAAAAGACCUCACCCGUCCACACGUCAGGUCAAGGUGCAGCACACGAAGUGGAAAGUAAUGGGCUACAAUUUCUAGCUUAGAACAAACGAAAGACUGCAUGAAACACAGCCAUGAAGGCGGAUUUAGUAGUAAAAAGAAAAUAGAGUGUUCUUUUUAAUAAGGCGCUGGGACGCGUACACACCGCCCCGUCACCCUCA
rnacentral:rRNA from 1 species